rnacentral:sRNA from 1 species
GGUUUUAACCCAGUAUCACAAGGUACUAAGGGUGUCUGACCUACCUUAGGGUUGCGUCACAAACCUUAAUUUUUGGAUCGCCUUCUGGGGGUCUAUUUACCUAACUUUCAGUUGAU